UACGGAGGGUGCAAGCGUUAUCCGGAUUCACUGGGUUUAAAGGGUGCGUAGGUGGGCAGGUAAGUCAGUGGUGAAAUCCUGUAGCUUAACUACAGAACUGCCAUUGAUACUAUUUGUCUUGAAUACCCUGGAGGUGAGCGGAAUAUGUCAUGUAGCGGUGAAAUGCUUAGAUAUCUGGAGGAACACCGGUGGCGAAGGCGGCAUCCUGGACCGAUACUGACGCUGAGGAGCGAAAGCCAGGGGAGCAAACGGG
rnacentral:rRNA from 1 species